AACGAACGCUGGCGGCAUGCCUAACACAUGCAAGUCGAACGAGACCUUCGGGUCUAGUGUCGCACGGGUUCGUAACGCGUGGGAACCUGCCCUUAUGUUCGGAAUAACUCCCCGAAAGGGGUGCUAAUACCGGAUAAUGUCUUCGGACCAAAGAUUUAUCGCCUUUGGAUGGUCCCGCGUUGGAUUAGCUAGUUGGUAGGGUAAAAGCCUACCAAGGCGACGAUCCAUAGCUGGUCUGAGAGGAUGAUCAGCCACACUGGGACUGAGACACGGCCCAGACUCCUACGGGAGGCAGCAGUGGGGAAUAUUGGACAAUGGGCGAAAGCCUGAUCCAGCAAUGCCGCGUGAGUGAUGAAGGCCUUAGGGUUGUAAAGCUCUUUUACCCGGGAUGAUAAUGACAGUACCGGGAGAAUAAGCUCCGGCUAACUCCGUG
rnacentral:rRNA from 1 species